UGGGGAUUUCCUUCACACAUGGGUCCAAUCAGAUGUCAAAAUUGUGGUCUCCUCACUUGACGGCAUCCAAUCAAAGUGGGGAAAAUAUUCUUUUUUUGGUAAACAAAAAUAUCUUGAGAUUUUGAUGGUAAGGAUGAUCAAGGAUAGGUUCGGACAACGCUCUAAUUCACUAAAAAUCCUUUAUCUCUUAAAUUUUGCCUAAAAUUCUUGUCGGCUUUUAGCAGGAUUCUGCAGGUGAGCAUUAGAUUGGUAUCAGAGCAUCACAUUUUUUGCCAUAUUUGCAAUGCAUUUAUAAUGUUUUAAAUCUCCAUGCUGGACAGACCCCACAUUUAAAGAGUUUUCUAUAUAUUUACAUAAGCACGCACACAUCUUAGUUCCUUGAAACCAUACAUUUUAUUUGUAUAUAAGCUUGAAUGAAUUUUCAAGAAAAUAAAAUCAUAAAUCCAUGAAAUUCUAAAGAAUUAUUGUAAAAUAACUGGUUUCUGCCACCUUAAGCCUUAACAUGAUUUUAAAAUAUCACGAAACUGUGCUUUUUUAAGAGUUCUACAGGUGUGUGGUAUUAUAUUUCUUUUAUUCACAGUCAAUGUAUAGGUCUGUUUGCAAGCAAAUAGUUUUUACAUGGAUUUUAAGAAUUAUCAAAUAUCAAGACAGAUAACUCUGUAUCCCAAUACAAACAAUGACAUUCAAUUGAUUAGUUUAGAAAUGAUUAUGUUCACCAAACAAUGAUUUUAUAUCAUAAAUAAUAUAGAAAUAGCAAUUACAAAGAGAGAAAAAAGUAAAUCAAGCCUCAGCAUAGUACAAGAAAAAGCUGAUUAUACUGUAUAUUACCUGUUAUAAUGAUUUAUUUCUUAUGAUAUGGACAUUUUCUUAUUUAUUUACUUUUUAACAAUGAAUAUAUGAAUUCUUCUUUUUUAUAGCUCUACUACAUAGUUGAUACAGUAGGACAGGCUACAAAAAUAAGAAAACUGGCCUCUCUCAUCACCAAUAGUGUGGCAGUUCUAAAAUUUCAACAUGCGGCCUACACAGCUAGCUCAUGUGGAGAAGAGAUAUUGAGACUGAUUGCGAAUAAAUGUACACUUAGUUAAGUGCAUCAUGGAUCUACAAAGUGAAAUAUAUGUACCAAAAAUAUAAGUUUAUUUAUAACUUAGCCUUUUUCAGCACUGCAGUCAAUAGAACAAUGAUAGUGACAAGAAUUGAGACUAUUUAAUACCUCAAACAAUGGGAAAAUACUUCUUGAGAUCAGUUGUAAGUGGUUUUAUAUCAUGCAUGAAACAAUAAACUAAAGUAGUUUUAAACACUGUUGGAUAAUUCAUACACUGUACCAGAAAACUCACACAAUAAAAGUUAUUAAA
rnacentral:lncRNA from 1 species